CACAGCAUGGGAAAGUUCAAUUUUCCCACGCUGUGUAAAAUGACACAGAGCACUGUGAUUGGAUGGCUUUCAAGCGUGGGAAAGUUCAAUUUUCCCAUGCUGUG